GAUGAACGCUGGCGGCGUGCCUAAUACAUGCAAGUCGAGCGAACAGACGAGGAGCUUGCUCCUCUGACGUUAGCGGCGGACGGGUGAGUAACACGUGGAUAACCUACCUAUAAGACUGGGAUAACUUCGGGAAACCGGAGCUAAUACCGGAUAAUAUAUUGAACCGCAUGGUUCAAUAGUGAAAGACGGUUUUGCUGUCACUUAUAGAUGGAUCCGCGCCGCAUUAGCUAGUUGGUAAGGUAACGGCUUACCAAGGCAACGAUGCGUAGCCGACCUGAGAGGGUGAUCGGCGACACUGGAACUGAGACACGGUCCAGACUCCUACGGGAGGCAGCAGUAGGGAAUCUGACGCAGAGGGCGAAAGCCUGACGGAGCGACGCCGCGUGAGUGAUGAAGGUCUUCGGAUCGUAAAACUCUGUUAUUAGGGAAGAACAAAUGUGUAAGUAACUAUGCACGUAUUGACGGUACCUAAUCAGAAAGCCACGGCUAACUACGUG
rnacentral:rRNA from 1 species